GAACCGUACGAACGUUAUUCGGAAUCACUGGGCUUAAAGAGUCCGUAGGCGGCUAUGUAGGUGAGGUGUGAAAUCCCACGGCUCAACCGUGGAACUGCGCUUCAAACCAUGUGGCUCGAGGGAGAUAGAGGAAAGCGGAACUGAUGGUGGAGCGGUGAAAUGCGUUGAUAUCAUCAGGAACACCGGUGGCGAAAGCGGCUUUCUGGGUCUCUUCUGACGCUGAGGGACGAAAGCUAGGGGGAGCGAACGGGAUUAGAUACCCCGGUAGUCCUAGCUGUAAACGAUGAGCACUAGCUUGAGGGGACCCCUCACAUCCCCUUGGGCGUAGCGAAAGUGUUAAGUGCUCCGCCUGGGAGUAUGGUCGCAAGGCUA
rnacentral:rRNA from 1 species